AGAGUUUGAUCAUGGCUCAGAACGUACGCUGGCGGCACGCCUAACACAUGCAAGUCGAACGAAGUAGCAAUACUUAGUGGCAGACGGGUGAGUAACAUGUGGGUAUCUACCCUAUGGCCUGGAAUAACACGAGGAAACUUGUGCUAAUACUGGAUAAGUCUUUACGGAGAAAGCUUUAUGCACCAUUGGAUGAGCCCGCACUUGAUUAGUUUGUUGGUAGGGUAAUGGCCUACCAAGACUUUGAUCAAUAGCUGAUUUGAGAGGAUGAUCAGCCACAUUGGGACUGAGACACGGCCCAAACUCCUACGGGAGGCAGCAGUGGGGAAUCUUGCACAAUGGAGGAAACUCUGAUGCAGCGAUGCCGCGUGAGUGAAGAAGGCCUUUGGGUUGUAAAGCUCUUUCGUCGGGGAAGAAAAUGACUGUACCCGAAUAAGAAGGUCCGGCUAACUUCGUGCCAGCCGCCGCGGUAAUAC
rnacentral:rRNA from 1 species